UCGAAGUGAAGCACAUUUUCUAGUAGUAUAUGGGCCUGAAAGAAUUGGUCUUGUCAAAGUUAGGCCUUGAAUGAUCAACUACAUGAAGCGGAUGGCAACGAAGGUCGGCCCAACGACCUUCUUAAGGUCUUAGUCUUUCAGUUUAUUGUCACAAAUUAAUUAAAAACUUGAUCAUGAAUAUAAGAGUUAUUACAGACAUGGCAAUCAGUAAAUUAAUCAACUCUCAAAUUUGUGCAAGAAUAAAAAUUAGUACUUUUACAUUCAGGUUCUAUUUUUUACCAAUCCGGUUCAUCACCCUGUAGCCACUAUGGUGCCCUUAAGUCUUCAAGACUUGAUCAAGUCUCAUAAUCUCAGCACUAACACACACGCUUCAUUUCAUACUGCCAUUUUUAAAAUUAAUCACUAAUACAUGAAUCAAAAAUAUUAAGGAUGUAUGCUGUAACUUUUAAAGCAAUUCACAUAUUUCUCUAUAUCUAAAAAUCAAUAGAGAGCAUGCUUAAUUUAAAGCUUAAACAUGCAUAACUCAUAACACUUCAAACAUUAUAUUAUUAAAUCGAGUGGACAAGCAAUAAGUCAAUUUGAAACUCGCAGACUUGAUCAUUUAAGUAAGUGUAGGUAUAGAGUUUUUGAAUGUUUUCCUAGAAUGCUUAAAAACAGCUAGAUGAGCCAAAUAAAGGCUAAGAAAGAAUAUGACAAAGCUCAUCAAUUAUAGAAACAACCUUGAACAACUCGAAACCAGUAGAAAAAUCCAAAAAAUUUUGAGUUCAAAUUUCAAUAGAAAUCAAUAACUGAAACCAAACAUGAUCACCUAAAUUUUCUCAGAUUUUCUUAGUUUUAUCAGAGUUUUAUUAACUUAGAAAUUCUUUUUGUUUUCAGCUCGCUUUUCUCUCCAAAGAAUUAAGAGAAUAGUGUCGAAAUUUCUCACAAUUUGAUGUUCUAAGUCUCAAAAAAUUGAUCAUUUUCGUCUCUGUUUUCAAGUGAGAGAUGUGGGAUUAUAUAGGGUCUCUUCUAAGAUUUCCUCAUCUGCCCUAAAUCCAUGGAUCCUAUGCUCAACCAAUAGGAACGCUUUCAGCUCUUUCUUAGCAGCUUCUAGGAUAUUAUUAAAGAUUCCCCUAGGUCAUUUUCUUUUUUUAACCUCAAUAUCCCUCUGCCUUAUCUCUUUAUACAAUUCAACUUUAUCCUUCUAGAAACUUUUUUUUAUAAUUUUUUUGAUAAUUUCCUUAAUGCCUUUAUUCUUUUAAACAUACCCACCUUACUAUUAUUUUUAAAAAUGGGCUUGGGACAUACUGAUUUAGGUUAGCAGACCUAGGCUCAAUUACCGAGAUCCACUAUUGACUUUCAUUGUGUCUCUUUGUAGAUUAAAACAUGCCCUAAGAAUUUAAAUCCAAACACAUUCCCCAGCUCAAUACUCUAAAAUAAAAUCACUCAACAAAUAAAAGUAAACUUAAUUGCUUCUAAACAAGUGAAAAUAAAUAAUACUUGAGUAUGGUAACAAAUAUUUGAGCACAAAAUAAAUGGUAAGAAUCAAAAUCCUAAUUAAAAUGCAAGUGAUUGAUUAUGCUAUAACACAGAAACCUAAUUAUUAAACUAAACUAGAUACACAGUUCAAAAUAAAGACACAGAAGUCAAUUGGAAAUGAUAAUAUAUAGGCAGGAAAGACGAAGAAAAGGAGGAAAUUACCUCAACUAGUCUAGCUCACCGGAAAAGAUGAAUUUCGGCAAGCAAAAACCACUUCCAUAGGAUCAUCUCAUUUGGAUUGUGUAAUCCAGUAGGUGCUGAUGUGCAAGUGGCCACUGCAAAACGGAAACAAGAAGAAGAGGGAAGGUUCGAGCAGCUUUAAAGGAAUUUGAAGGGUCCGACUUUACUCCAAGAGAUCCACCUUGGAUUUUAACAUCCUCAUUGAUCUGAUCGGCUGUCACGAUCCGAAAUUUCCACCUUCGGGACCGUGAUGGCGCAUAACAUUUCACUUGUCAUGCAAACCAACGUUAGAUAAAUUUUAAAUCAUUUUUAAACAAAUCAAAUCUAAAUGAUGCAAAUGAAUUUCACUUGUCAUUCUUGCACAUGAAUUUCACAUAACACAUAGCUCUAGGGUUCCAAAUUCCCUCAAAUUAAGGUUAAAUCCAACAUUUACCUCACUCCGCAGUCAACUCAGAGCUCUAUCGAGGCCUUCCUCUAAAAUCUGCCUC
rnacentral:lncRNA from 1 species